GUGGGGAAUUUUGGACAAUGGGGGCAACCCUGAUCCAGCCAUGCCGCGUGCGGGAAGAAGGCCUUCGGGUUGUAAACCGCUUUUGUCAGGGAAGAAAUCCUUUGGGUUAAUACCUCGGAGGGAUGACGGUACCUGAAGAAUAAGCACCGGCUAACUACGUGCCAGCAGCCGCGGUAAUACGUAGGGUGCGAGCGUUAAUCGGAAUUACUGGGCGUAAAGCGUGCGCAGGCGGUUUUGUAAGAUCGAUGUGAAAUCCCCGGGCUCAACCUGGGAACUGCAGUGGUGACUGCAAGGCUGGAGUGCGGCAGAGGGGGAUGGAAUUCCGCGUGUAGCAGUGAAAUGCGUAGAUAUGCGGAGGAACACCGAUGGCGAAGGCAAUCCCCUGGGCCUGCACUGACGCUCAUGCACGAAAGCGUGGGGAGCAAACAGGAUUAGAUACCCCAGUAGUCC
rnacentral:rRNA from 1 species